AAUCUGACCUCAAAUCAGGUAGGGCUACCCGCUGAACUUAAGCAUAUCAAUAAGCGGAGGAAAGGAAACUAACAAGGAUUCCCUUAGUAACGGCGAGUGAACCGGGAAGAGCUCAAAUUUGUAAUCUGGCGUGCUCUGUGCGUCCGAGUUGUAAUCUAUAGAAGUGUUUUCCGCGCCGGAUCGUGUCCAAGUUCCUUGGAAUAGGAUAUCAUAGAGGGUGACAAUCCCGUCCUUGACACGACUACCGGUGCUCUGUGAUACACCUUCUACGAGUCGAGUUGUUUGGGAAUGCAGCUCAAAAUGGGUGGUGAGUUCCAUCUAAAGCUAAAUAUUGGCGAGAGACCGAUAGCGAACAAGUACCGUGAGGGAAAGAUGAAAAGCACUUGAAAGAGAGUAAACAGUA
rnacentral:rRNA from 1 species